UUUUUUGUUUUCCCUUUUUCUUUGUUAUAUGUUCGCUUGUUUAUUUCUUUACCUUUUAAUUUAUUUAUUUCUUUUUACAGUUUUCAUCAUUAUGAUUAUUAUUUUUAUGUUUCUUCCUUGCUUUUACUGGUUUUUCUUUUCGUUUUUUUUUCGUUGUUUCUUUCUCAGUUUGCAGUGGCUUGUUUUCUUCUUUCUUUCUUUUCAUCGCUUUCCCUUUUUGUUUUGAUUUGCUGUUCAUUUUGGUUUUUCU
rnacentral:lncRNA from 1 species